rnacentral:rRNA from 1 species
AUUGAACGCUGGCGGCAGGCCUAACACAUGCAAGUCGAGCGAGCGGCGGACGGGUGAGUAAUGUCUGGGAAACUGCCUGAUGGAGGGGGAUAACCACUGGAAACGGUAGCUAAUACCGCAUACCAUCAGAUGUGCCCAGAUGGGUUUGGCUAGUAGGUGGGGUAACGGCUCACCUAGGCGACGAUCCCUAGCUGGUCUGAGAGGAUGACCAGCCACACUGGAACUGGGACACGGUCCAGACUCCUACGGGGGGCAGCAGUGGGGAAUAUUGCACAAUGGGGGCAAGCCGGAGGCGGCCAGGCCGCGGGGGUAAAGAGGGCCUUCGGGUUGUAAAGCACUUUCAGCGGGGAGGCGUUACCCGCAGAAGAGGCACGGGCUAACUCCGUGCCAGAGCCGCGGUAAUAC